GGCAGGGGGAAGCCUAAGAGGUAUUGGGAAGAAGUGAUUAGGCAUGACAUGGCUAGAAUGCGGGUUUCCGAGGACAUGACCCUUGAUAGGAAAGUCUGGAGGUCUAGUAUCAGGGUUGUAGGAUAGGGGCUCCUAGAGUUUUUCGUACUCCUCACCCGGGGUUGGGUGAUGCUUGGCAGGCUAUCCAUAGAUGAUUUGUGUAUUUGAUUGUGUCUCCCUUAUACUAGUUAUUUAUGGUAGUUACUGUCUAAUAUCAUUGCAUGUUAUUUUAUUUAUGGUUCUUAUGUUUAAAUAAUUAUUUACGCUACUUGUGUUGGAGUUACUAAUGCUCUUUUAUUUUUAUUUUUACUUUUGUUUUUAUUUUUCUUUCUUUCACUGAGUCGAGGGUCGAUUGGAAACAGCCUCUCUGUCCUUUCGGGUAGGGGUAAGGCCCGUAUAUAUUAUUUUUUCCAGAUUUCACUUUGUGGAAUUAUACUGGG
rnacentral:lncRNA from 1 species